rnacentral:rRNA from 1 species
UACGAAGGGGGCUAGCGUUGCUCGGAAUCACUGGGCGUAAAGGGUGCGUAGGCGGGUCUUUAAGUCAGGGGUGAAAUCCUGGAGCUCAACUCCAGAACUGCCUUUGAUACUGAGGAUCUUGAGUUCGGGAGAGGUGAGUGGAACUGCGAGUGUAGAGGUGAAAUUCGUAGAUAUUCGCAAGAACACCAGUGGCGAAGGCGGACUCACUGGCCCCGAUACUGACGCUGAGGCA